GAUGAACGCUAGCGGCAGGCUUAAUACAUGCAAGUCGAGGGGCAGCACAGAUAGCAAUAUUGGGUGGCGACCGGCAAACGGGUGCGGAACACGUACACAACCUUCCUUUUGGUGGGGGAUAGCCUUUGGAAACGGAGAUUAAUACCCCAUAAGAUAUUGGGACCGCAUGGUUUUGAUAUUAAAGAUUUAUUGCCAGAAGAUGGGUGUGCGUAUGAUUAGGUAGUUGGUGAGGUAAAGGCUCACCAAGCCGACGAUCAUUAACUGGUGUGAGAGCACGACCAGUCACACGGGCACUGAGGCACGGGCCCGACUCCUACGGGAGGCAGCAGUAAGGAAUAUUGGUCAAUGGACGGAAGUCUGAACCAGCCAUGCCGCGUGGAGGAUGAAGGUCCUCUGGAUUGUAAACUUCUUUUAUAUGGGGCGAAAAAGGGCCAUUCUUGGUCAACUGACGGUGCCAUAUGAAUAAGCACCGGCUAACUCCGUGCCAGCCGCCGCCGUAAGAC
rnacentral:rRNA from 1 species